UCCCUGGUGGCUCAAAUGGUAAAGUGUCUGUCUACAAUGCAGGAGACCCAGGUUUGAUCCCUGGGCUGGGAA
rnacentral:tRNA from 1 species